GGGGGGGGGGGGGGGGGGGGGGGGGGGGGGGAGGGGGGGCGGGUGGGCCCGGCGUGGGGGGGGUGGGCGGGGGGGGGAGGGGUGGGGAGCACGGGGGUUGCCUGCCCCUGGCUUGGGGAUUACUUCGUGGAACUGGGUCUAAUACCCGAUAGGACUUCCUUCGUCAUGGUGGGGGUUGGAAAGGUUCGGCGGUUGGGGAUGGACUCGCGGCUUAUCAGCUUGGUGGUGGGGUAGUGGCUUACCAAGGCUUUGACGGGUAGCCGGCCUGAGAGGGUGACCGGCCACAUUGGGACUGAGAUACGGCCCAGACUCCUACGGGAGGCAGCAGUGGGGAAUAUUGCACAAUGGGCGGAAGCCUGAUGCAGCAACGCCGCGUGCGGGAUGACGGCCUUCGGGUUGUAAACCGCUUUCGCCUGUGACGAAGCGUGAGUGACGGUAAUGGGUAAAGAAGCACCGGCUAACUACGUG
rnacentral:rRNA from 1 species